rnacentral:rRNA from 1 species
AUGGCGAUGACCGUGGAAGGGCUCGCUGGACUUGCGUGUAUGUUCUCCACGAGCGUUCUUUUGCAAAUCCUGGCAUGUGCUUUGUACAACAACUGGUGGCCUAUGUUAGCAGCACUCAUGUAUAUCAUUGUGCCAAUGCCAUGCCUGUUCUUUGGCGACGGAUCCACACGGUUCUUGAGUAGCGGAGAGGGUGGAGCCUGGAUGAAAGCCGCAAAGUUCUUGACCGGCAUGUCUGCCAUGGGAAGCCUCGCCAUCCCGGCGAUCCUGAGGCACGCUGGCCUGAUCGAGACGGGGGCCAUGUUCAUCGAGUUCACCUCCUUCUUCAUCCUGGUGUGCACGGUUCUGUGCUUCCACAGGGCUACCCUGGACGAGGAGUGGUAA